rnacentral:rRNA from 1 species
AAUGGGUCAGCGACUUAUAUUCUGUAGCAAGGUUAACCGAAUAGGGGAGCCGAAGGGAAACCGAGUCUUAACUGGGCGUUAAGUUGCAGGGUAUAGACCCGAAACCCGGUGAUCUAGCCAUGGGCAGGUUGAAGGUUGGGUAACACUAACUGGAGGACCGAACCGACUAAUGUUGAAAAAUUAGCGGAUGACUUGUGGCUGGGGGUGAAAGGCCAAUCAAACCGGGAGAUAGCUGGUUCUCCCCGAAAGCUAUUUAGGUAGCGCCUCGUGAAUUCAUCUCCGGGGGUAGAGCACUGUUUCGGCAAGGGGGUCAUCCCGACUUACCAACCCGAUGCAAACUGCGAAUACCGGAGAAUGUUAUCACGGGAGACACACGGCGGGUGCUAACGUCCGUCGUGAAGAGGGAAACAACCCAGACCGCCAGCUAAGGUCCCAAAGUCAUGGUUAAGUGGGAAACGAUGUGGGAAGGCCCAGACAGCCAGGAUGUUGGCUUAGAAGCAGCCAUCAUUUAAAGAAAGCGUAAUAGCUCACUGGUCGAGUCGGCCUGCGCGGAAGAUGUAACGGGGCUAAACCAUGCACCGAAGCUGCGGCAGCGACACUAUGUGUUGUUGGGUAGGGGAGCGUUCUGUAAGCCUGUGAAGGUGUACUGUGAGGUAUGCUGGAGGUAUCAGAAGUGCGAAUGCUGACAUAAGUAACGAUAAAGCGGGUGAAAAGCCCGCUCGCCGGAAGACCAAGGGUUCCUGUCCAACGUUAAUCGGGGCAGGGUGAGUCGACCCCUAAGGCGAGGCCGAAAGGCGUAGUCGAUGGGAAACAGGUUAAUAU